rnacentral:rRNA from 1 species
AGCGAACGCUGGCGGCAGGCCUAACACAUGCAAGUCGAACGGAUCCUUCGGGAUUAGUGGCGGACGGGUGAGUAACACGUGGGAACGUGCCCUUUGGUUCGGAACAACUCAGGGAAACUUGAGCUAAUACCGGAUGUGCCCUUCGGGGGAAAGAUUUAUCGCCAUUGGAGCGGCCCGCGUCUGAUUAGCUAGUUGGUGAGGUAAAGGCUCACCAAGGCUACGACCAGUAGCUGGUCUGAGAGGAUGAUCAGCCACAUUGAGACUGAGACACGGCCCAAACUCCUACGGGAGGCAGCAGUGGGGAAUCUUGCGCAAUGGGCGAAAGCCUGACGCAGCCAUGCCGCGUGAACGAUGAAGGUCUUAGGAUUGUAAAAUUCUUUUACCAGGGACGAUAAUGACGGUACCUGGAGAAAAAGCCCCGGCUAACUUCGUGCCAGCCGCCGCCGUAAAAC